rnacentral:rRNA from 1 species
UCGGGAAUUUUGGGCAAUGGGCGAAAGCCUGACCCAGCAACGCCGCGUGAAGGAUGAAGUAUUUCGGUAUGUAAACUUCGAAAGAAUAGGAAGAAUAAAUGACGGUACUAUUUAUAAGGUCCGGCUAACUACGUGCCAGCAGCCGCGGUAAUACGUAGGGACCAAGCGUUGUUCGGAUUUACUGGGCGUAAAGGGCGCGUAGGCGGCAAUUCAAGUCAUCUGUGAAAUCUCCGGGCUUAACUCGGAACGGUCAGAUGAUACUGCUUUGCUAGAGUGCAGAAGGGGCAAUCGGAAUUCUUGGUGUAGCGGUGAAAUGCGUAGAUAUCAAGAGGAACACCUGAGGUGAAGACGGGUUGCUGGGCUGACACUGACGCUGAGGCGCGAAAGCCAGGGGAGCAAACGGGAUUAGAUGCCCUCGUAGUCCCUGAGCGGGCUGGCAAGGCGCAU